GAUCCACUACAGUCGAGUUCAAACUGACAGUGACCUCACAGGGAGAACAAGGCGGUGUUAUUAAAGCCACAGAGCGGGUGGACCGGUACAGAGAAUCACACAAAAAAAAAAAGACUUAAUUUUCUGUUUUGAGGUGUGAUAAAGAGCAAAUGGAGCAAAAGGGGUUUAUUAUCGGUCGUCAGCACAGCUCCUGUGUGGAGAAAAUAAAGAAACUAACACAGAGGUUAAACUAUGUAGCGUUAGUUUGAAGCAAAGCGUUCUUUGGCCAAUUCAAAAAUAAUUGAAAACUACCACCGGAAGUGGUUUGGCACUCUAAACUGAAAUCAAACGUCACAUCUCUAUAGAUUUUACAAGCGUUGCACAUGUGUGUUUUCGCAUAUUCCACCAAGUCCGUUCUAGCCAGUACCUCAUCUGAAACCAGUUCUUUGGGUUUCAACCUUCAAGAGGACAGAAAAAAAAACGGUUCCACAGUAGCACCAUCUCCUUACUGGUCUACGAGAACGAAAAGCUCGAUGCAUGCAGUCGUAACCUGAAGAGAGGGAAAUAUUCAAACAUAGAGCCAACACUCUUUGAAGGGGUUAAACUAAAUGUUGCUCCAAACCUCGACCACAAAGGUACACAGCUUAGCUUCUGUGUCGUUCCUCCGACCGGCUUCACUAAAUGACCUCCGUUUCAUUAAGAGCUUCAUAAAACACCACUUUAAAGCAUCCUGAUUAUUCCUUAAAGAAGCAGGAAGUUCACUACUCGGCCUGCUUCAGCUAAACGUUUGGAGUUAGUGAGAGCGCCCUCUCUCUUCACUGAGUUCAAACUGCACAACAGAAUCCUAGAAAAGAAAAGAAGCUGUCUUUACUGCGUGUCCUUUAUAAGAUGUCAGCGUUGCACACGCUCAUAAACUGCAUAUGCACCACAUGAAUCUGGAACCAAAGUUCUAGUUGCACAACCUCCGUUUUGCAAGUGCAAACUCUCUGUACUCGUCCAUCGUUCUUUGUUCUUCUCAUGAGGUUCACAUGAAAAUCUCCUUUUUGUACAAAGUGUAAAGCUGAUUGAGUGUCCUGGCAUGCAGACGUGUUAUUGUUGUUGUUUUGACGCCGGCUGAGUCUCUGUGGUGAUCCGUGUUUUAAUGUGUUUGUUGUUCAUUGCUUGACAAUGAAUUCCUCGCGUCUUGUGUUUUUUUUUUAACAAGCCAUUGUUUUGCUGGAAACAGAAAGGCUCAGGCUCCCUCUGUGGCACCCUGGAAACAUGUUAAAUAUUUAUCAGCUUCUCUGAGACUCGCAGAGAUACAGCCCGGUGUAAUUUACUUUCAGGAUGUGUCAUGUUUUCACCAUUAAACACAAAAGACGUGUUUCCUAAUUUCUCCACCGUGCAGUUAAACUGGACGAUUGAUGUGGAACGGCUCAUCCUGCUGUUUUACUGCCUCAUUAUAGCGUCCUCUCUGGCUGUUUCCACAGUCGAUACUGUCGCUUCUCUGCAGUCCUGCACUGUGUCUCUAUUUAAAAUGUCGGCCCUCUCCUCGUUAUUACAGAGGUUGGUGUGUUCAGUUAAACAGACACAGCUAGAAGCCCUCUGGUGCAGCUUCACCAGCAGGGUGCCAGCAGAGAAGCCUCGUCUGAGCCUGAGCCUUUCCCCCCCUCCCUCCUCGCUCCCGUGCAGCCACGCCCUCCACCGCACCCACCCAGUCCACACAUGCAUGUAACCCUGCCAGCCUUAACGUGCACACUAAUGGACCACGUGUGUCACUACAUGUUUGAGAAAUGUCUGUUAACCUGACCUGUGCUGCUCUCUCUGAGUAACAUGAAGUAGAACGGCGGGCAGGGUGUUUGUUUGUUGGCUGCUGUGUGAAUGUGAAUGCUCUUCGUACACACAUGUUCAUAACACAGCUUCUUCAAACUGCUUCAUUUUACACUCCAGCAAAUGUUCGGCAUGCGUAUUCACCCGAGUGUGCACCUGCUUGUUUUUGAAACAUUUGAUGGCAUGAGGACGACCUCAGAAGCGUUUUGCAUUCACAUGAGGAAAUACAAAUCUGCUUCUCUGAGUGACGAGGUGCAGCGUCUCUCGGCUGAACAACUUCAGUGUUUCAGGUCGUCACAGUGUCGAAGUUAAAAGUGUCUCUGAAAGUCGUUUUCUAUCAGCUGCUCGUCUCACAUUUGGAUAGACUGAAAUCAUGCUGACUUCAAAUCAAAGACCAACCGAGUGAAAAUAAUCAACUUUGUUUCUAUGUGUAAAUCCGUCUCUCUGCUCUCAAUCUGCUGCUUGUCGUACGUCGGCCAUGUUGACUGCUUUCAUCCACGUUGGCUCUGAGUUCUCGCUGUUGCUCACAGACAUCCCGUUCACAAGACGCCUCUUCUCCACCAGUUUCCCCCGACGUCUCUGUUUCACUGUGAUGGAUCUUUCACUCCAUUUCAGGAAGUCUGUCACGUUUGAUGCACACGGACGUAGACUUUAAAAAAAACAUCUUUUCUACGAGUAAUCGGUCAUAGAGUGAGGUCGAAAAGUCGUUCUUAAAAGAGACAUACUAAAAAUAAAGAUAAUUAUAAACCCUCUUCAACUGAUUAAAUCCAAAGUGAUGAGUCUGUUUUGAAAAUGUCAGGAGUGGAAAGAAAUUAUAUUUGUGUGAAAGUGUCAAAGGUCAAAGUUCUGAUACGUGUGAAGGUGACCUCUGCAGAGUCAUCACGUCGUUUUUGCAUGUUUGUAAGAUACUCAGCUAAUGUGUGUGUCAGUGAUCCUGUGGUUUGCUUCAGGUUGGACAGUAGGUGUGUGUGUUUAAACAGCAUGCUUUGACCCAGUGUGUGUGUGUCUGUGUGUGUGUCGUGCUUUGUGCUCGGUGUGCUGCCUCUUAGUUUGCACGCUCUCUAGAUUUCCUCCUUCGUUGCUUUCUGCUUCCUUGUGUGUCACUAACCUGUUUCAUUGUUGAUUACUUUGCCAUGACAACCAAUCAGCCUGUCAAUCAAAUUUCCCUCUCUCGCUCAGUGGAUUGUACUCUCUCUCUCUCUCUCUCUCUCUUUCUUCAGCUCUCAGUUCAGACAGUCAGUGGGGGGGGGGACGUAGAUAACAUGCAGGGUGAGAAGAGACGAGGGUACAGAAGAUGUUUUACUUAUUAUCAGGAUGUUUAAUUAAACCGAUCUCAGCUUUAUAAGAACAACAAUUUCUUUUAGUGCACUUCUCAAAACUCAAGUGACAGCGUCCUCCAUGGAAACAGAGGACAUUUAAAGAGCAGAGGAUGCAAAGAUAACUUUAUUUGAAUGAACCUUUAUCAACAGACGUUUACAAAGAGCUUUGACAGACAAAGAAAAGGCAGGAAGUCAGGAAGAUAACAGAACAAACAUUUCAACAGUCGGGAGCGUUUAGAAAACUCCACAGAGAGGAAACACAAACGCAGAAGUUUAACGAGAGUAAAUGCAAAUAAAAGGAAAAAAUAAAUGUGAUAAAAUACAUUGAAGAUCAUAUGUAUAGAUGUGUUGCAGGAGUUUUGAAUUAAUUAAAAUGUAGAUGCUGAUGUAGAAAGUUUUUUAUUCGAUAGGACAGCUUUCCAAGCUCCUCUUAUUUUCAUAAUGGACAGAAUCAAAGGUAAACUCCUGCACGCAGUCUAACCUGCUAACAAACAUUUAUUGGCAACGCUUCGGUACUAGACCUUCAUCAGGCAAACAGUUCGUAAAAAUGGGCGGGACAUUUUAAAUUCCUGUAACCAAUCAUUAAGACGUCAGCCCUGAAUCAUCAGAUUAAUAAACAUCAGCUUCCUGGUUGAGAGCACAAACCAAAAAUUCUAAUAAGAAAAUGGUGAAAGCCUGAGAGGCGACUCUGAACGACCUCUCACUUCAUCAUCGGUUCAGCGGAUACUCAAGAUCCCAAAGUAGUUUAUUUGUUUACGUUUUGUGAAACAACAUCUGUUUCAUAAGACAGAUGUGCCGGAGAGAAUCCAUCAAAUCCUCAAAGUAAACUCCUGCACACGGUCUACAUUCUACAGAUUCAUCGGCUACACUAACAUGUUUAGGCGUUCAGACGGCGUGCAGGAGAUUUUAUGUUGUUGCUGUUAAAGUUAAAAACUCUGGUCUCGUUCAUGUCAACACCUCGUCAUCACACUCUGUCGGUGUCAGGGCGCAGCUUUCAGAGAUGCUGAUGUUUGCAGAUGUCUCUGGUCUGCAGUGCACAGUCAUCGCUGUGCUGCAGCGUGCCAGCUUCAGAGUUUCUGGUACCCAAAGAGGAAACAGCUGAGUCACCGUGACGAUCUCCUCUGCACCACUGACCUGCUCGUCUCCGUGCAGAAACUCAGAAACACUGCAGCUGCACUUUCAGAAAGUUUCUGAUCCACGCAGCUCGACUUAAAUUCAUCCAUUUAGAACCUUUAUAUAAACGUGCAAAACUUAAAGUGCUUCAGGUACGAAUGAUUAAAUCAAAACAGGAAACGAACAACAAAGACUUUCAAACUUCAAAGUUAGAGCUCCAAGACUCGAGGAAGUUCUUUAUGUCACACGCUCAUACAGACGGGCAGAGAUAUGCAAUAAAAACAACAACAGCAUAAAAGCUCAAAAAGCAAUAAAGAAAGAUCUUUCAAAUGUUUAGAUCCAGAUUCUUUAUCGUCCCACAGAAGACAAGAAACACAAGGACAACAUCACCGUAAAAUCAGAAUCACGAUAAAACAACGAUAACAACCCGGACUCCUCCUUUAAAAUAACUUAAUAUAAUAUUAAACAUGUUUGAUAUUUCUGAGAACAGAUCGAGGAGGCUCCAACCUCGGAGUGACAUCACACACGCUCCAAUCAGGCCACGCCCCCAAUCGUUGGUGUGUAACCAGCCUGAGCUGUAAAUAGGUGGCUUCAGUUUGAGGUUCAUUAAGAACCAGAUUCUCUCCGAGGAGAAUAAAAGAGAUGAAGGUUUUUAAUAUACAGGUGUGUAGUGCAGGUAUGUAGUUUCUGUUAAGUUGUAGGUGUGUAGUUUAGGUUUAGUUGUAGGUGUGUAGUUUAGGUUAAGUUAUAGGUGUGUAGUUUAGGUGUGUAGUUUAGGUUUAGUUGUAUGUGUGUAGUGCAGGUUAAGGUGUAGGUGUAUAGUACAGGUGUGUAGUUGAGGCGUGUAGUUGAGGUGUGUAGUUUAGGUUAAGUUGUAGGUGUGUAGUUUAGGUUAAGUUGUAGGUGUGUAGUUUAGGUUUAGUUGUAGGUGUGUAGUUUAGGUUAAGUUGUAGGUGUGUAGUUUAGGUGUGUAGUUUAGGUUAAGUUGUAUGUGUGUAGUGCAGGUUAAGGUGUAGGUGUAUAGUACAGGUGUGUA